rnacentral:rRNA from 1 species
CCCUUAGAUGUUCUGGGCCGCACGCGCGUUACACUGAUGCAUUCAACGAGCUUAUAACCUUGGCCGAGAGGCCUGGGCAAUCUUGUUAACGUGCAUCGUGAUAGGGAUAGAUUAUUGAAAUUAUUAAUCUUGAACGAGGAAUUCCUAGUAAACGCAGAUCAUCAAUCUGCAUUGAUUACGUCCCUGCCCUUUGUACACACCGCCCGUCGCACCUACCGAUUGGAUGGUCCGGUGAAGCCUCGGGAUUGUGGUUCUUGCCGCUUUAUUGUGGCGUGACCGCGAGAACUUGCCUAAACCUUAUCAUCUAGAGGAAGGUGAAGUCGUAACA